GACAAACGCUGGCGGCGUGCUUAACACAUGCAAGUCGAACGGAAAGGCCCCCUUGUGGGGUACUCGAGUGGCGAACGGGUGAGUAACACGUGAGUAACCUACCCUUGACUUUGGGAUAACUUCAGGAAACUGGGGCUAAUACCGGAUAGGAGCUCCUGCUGCAUGGUGGGGGUUGGAAAGUUUCGGCGGUUGGGGAUGGACUCGCGGCUUAUCAGCUUGUUGGUGGGGUAGUGGCUCACCAAGGCUUUGACGGGUAGCCGGCCUGAGAGGGUGACCGGCCACAUUGGGACUGAGAUACGGCCCAGACUCCUACGGGAGGCAGCAGUGGGGAAUAUUGCACAAUGGGCGGAAGCCUGAUGCAGCAACGCCGCGUGCGGGAUGACGGCCUUCGGGUUGUAAACCGCUUUCGCCUGUGACGAAGCGUGAGUGACGGUAAUGGGUAAAGAAGCACCGGCUAACUACGUG
rnacentral:rRNA from 1 species